rnacentral:misc_RNA from 1 species
AAAUAAAAAGGAAGAAGAAGAAAAGAAGAUGUAAAGUAGAUGUACCUGGCUGGCUUUGGGUGCCUUUUUCCUCAGUGAUAAAACGUGGCUGUGUCUGUGUAUUGGCUAUGUAUCUCCAAUAUGGCUAAUGGAUGGUGAUUAAAAUGGGCUAAUGGCUAAUUGUUUUAAAUCUAAUUUAGAGGAUUUUUUAGUGCUCUUUCGCAUUUGCAUUUUUUUUAUUAUUUAAAAUCCUAUUUUAAAUAAGU